rnacentral:rRNA from 1 species
UACGUAGGGGGCAAGCGUUAUCCGGAAUUACUGGGUGUAAAGGGAGAGUAGGCGGCAUGGUAAGUUAGAUGUGAAAGCCCGAGGCUUAACCUCGGGAUUGGAUUUAAAACUAUCAAGCUAGAGUACAGGAGAGGUAAGUGGAAUUCCUAGUGUAGCGGUGAAAUGCGUAGAUAUUAGGAAGAACACCAGUGGCGAAGGCGACUUACUGGACUGAAACUGACGCUGAGGCUCGAAAGCGUGGGGAGCGAACAGG